GUUAAUUAUUCUGUUUGUUUUUACUCUCAGCAGCUUAUGCAGUUAUCUUUAUUAUUGCUCUUCUGAUCCUUUUUGGGGUAAUAGUUUAUUGCUGCCUUACAAAGAAAUCCAGGAAGUACUCUGUGGACUUACAUUCCAAACACGAAGAUGCUCAGAUCCCUCUCAGCACAGUGGAUGCAGAGGUGUUUGACACCACAUCAGUCAAAGAUAUGCAAACGUUCGCUCCUGUCGAGUCCACCGAGCCGCUUAAGGACCCUGCCCCUGAAUCUGUGAAGCCUGAGGAAGAGAAAGAAUCAACCGAUGUUAAACAAGAAAACCAACAGAAAUUAUCCAGCUCCCAGGCCACAGAGAACCCAAAGGAUAAAAUGGAGGGGCUGACCGUAGUGGAUCUUACUGAUGGAGAGCCGACGAUCUCCACCAAAACCUCAAUGGAAUCCCUAGAUGAUGUUCUCAAUGAAAACAACAGCAACAAUACAAGAGUUGAAGUCAAGGUCAAUGGGCAUGAUUUCACUGAAAUCUCUAUUGAUGCUUAACUUCUAAAAUUAAUCAGGUUCUUCCCAGCAUUUUACAAUGCUCUCUGAACCUGACUGAUGGAUUGUACUGGAACUGAAAGUAACAUCUGAACUAAAUUGUAAAUGAUGUGAGUCAUUGUUAGAACGAAAGUGCUUUAUAACGGUGCAGAAAAGCGAUAUAUAAAUGUAAUGAAUUAUUAUUAUUAUUAUUAUUAGAACAGUGUUGUUUGAGUAUACAUACAACACUAAGAAAAGUCUGUAAAAACAGGGCUCAGUGUAUUGUGCUAAUGUAAAGGAAUUUUCUGUAUACAUUUUCAAAAUCAAUUACUCAUGUUUUAAAAUACAUUUUGUUGUUUUAUGUUUAAUGGAAAUAUACAUAAACAUAAUGGAAUACAACUUAAUGGAGUUUCUGUUUUUCUGCAGAUUUUUGUUCCUACAUGGUAUUGCAAUUAGCAUAAUAGUAUCUUUUGUUAGAUUUUAAUAUUGUAACUUGUUAAUUAUAAUUUUGUUGAUAAUUUUGUAAAUGUUGCAGCUUUUUAUUGUUGUUGGCUGUAUGUAAAUGAAAAAUGUGUACUUUUUCUAUGUUAUUGCACCCAGAUAUCACAAUGUAUUUUCCAAGCAAAAGGAUGCUUGGAAAAUAACCGAAUAAUGCAAAACAUGUCAUUAUUAACAGUUCCAGGCUUUUUAAUAAAACUACAGAUUGGUUACCACCCCCCACACCAAUUGAGAGUAUAUACAUCAAUAUAUUAAAUUGUUGAGUGUGGACUUUUAUGACAAAAUGUGCAUUUUAACAUUUGUACAUUUUAAUUAAAAUAUCUGGAUGUAAAGGAAAUUAUGUAAGUAAAGGAAAUCUUAUCAGUGUUAUAGAGCUCACAGUUCCUCCAUUGUAUGUACAGUAUAUGUAUGUUUUAAUGCCUAUAGCUGUUAAAUGUUAAACAUAUGCAUUCGCAUAAUGCAUCAUUUCUUUCGUUCUCUAUGUAAUGCUUUCAUUGUUGUAAACUUCCAUUUGACUUUAUGUUUCGGGUUAAUCCUAGUUUUAUUAAUUUGUAUUGAGGUUUGUUUUCUUAAACUGCUGUAAACAACACAGUCUAAAGAAAUAUACAGUAUAAGCCUACUGUUGUUUACCUAAGUUGUUUCUGCCUUCUAAUAAUUAAUACAAUAAAAAUUGAUCUUGAUCAUGCAUGUCAUUUAAUAUUAUUUGUAGUUUACUUAAAUCUUUUUCUUGAAAACAAGAAAUGUUGUGGUUUUUAAAUAAAAAUUGACUUUAAGUUAAAGACUUUAUCUUCUAUAGCAAAUUGUAGUUUAUGAUGUUAAUUCGUGUUCUGGCUGCCCAUUUUACUUAUUACUGCAGCUACAGUUCAACAUUAACCACAAAAGCAAUUUGUCAGGUGGAUGUUCGAUCUUUAAUAAAGCAAGUUUACUGUAUGAGAACUGUAUUAGAAACUGCUUUCAGUAACCAAGCAGAUGCAAGCAUAGAUGGUUCAUUAACAAGACUGCAAUAAAAGUUUUAUUUCUGGUU